rnacentral:rRNA from 1 species
UACAGAGGGUGCGAGCGUUAAUCGGAAUUACUGGGCGUAAAGCGUGCGCAGGCGGCUUUGCAAGACAGAUGUGAAAUCUCCGGGCUCAACCUGGGAACUGCAUUUGUGACUGCAAGGCUAGAGUACGGUAGAGGGGGAUGGAAUUCCGCGUGUAGCAGUGAAAUGCGUAGAUAUGCGGAGGAACACCGAUGGCGAAGGCAAUCCCCUGGACCUGUACUGACGCUGAGGCACGAAAGCGUGGGUAGCAAACAGG